CCUACGGGUGGCAGCAGUGAGGAAUAUUGGUCAAUGGACGAAAGCCUGAACCAGCCAAGUCGCGUGAAGGAUGAAGGUUCUAUGGGUCGUAAACCUCUUUUAUACGGGAAUAAAGUGUGGGACGUGUCCUAUUUUGUAUGUACCUUAUGAAUAAGGAUCGGCUAACUCCGUGCCAGCAGCCGCGGUAAUACGGAGGAUCCGAGCGUUAUCCGGAUUUAUUGGGUUUAAAGGGUGCGUAGGCGGCCGCUUAAGUCAGCGGUGAAAGUCUGUGGCUCAACCAUAGAAUUGCAGUUGAAACUGGGUGGCUUGAGUAUGUUUGAGGUAGGCGGAAUGCGUGGUGUAGCGGUGAAAUGCUUAGAUAUCACGCAGAACCCCGAUUGCGAAGGCAGCCUGCCAAGCCAUGACUGACGCUGAUGCACGAAAGCGUGGGGAUCAAACAGGAUUAGAUACCCUAGUAGUC
rnacentral:rRNA from 1 species